AGCUGAUAUAGUAUAUUUGGUAUUACAUAGGUUUGCAAAACCUAAAACAAUGGUUCAACUCCAUUUAUCAGCUGC
rnacentral:tRNA from 1 species